rnacentral:snRNA from 1 species
AUGCUCUCCUCAGCAGCAAAUGUACUAAAAAUUGAAAACAAUACAGAGAAGAUUAGCAUGGCCCCUGUGCAAGGAUGACAUGCAAAUUAGUGAAGCAUUCCAUUUUUUU